GAUGAACGCUAGCGGGAGGCCUAACACAUGCAAGCCGAGCGGGAUUUGUUGGUUAGCUUGCUAACUAACAAUGAGAGCGGCGUACGGGUGCGUAGCACGUGUGCAACCUGCCUUUAUCUGGGGGAUAGCCUUUCGAAAGGAAGAUUAAUACCCCAUAACAUAUUGAUUGGCAUCAGUUAAUAUUGAAAGCUCCGGCGGAUAGAGAUGGGCACGCGUAAGAUUAGCUAGUUGGUGAGGUAACGGCUCACCAAGGCUGCGAUCUUUAGGGGGCCUGAGAGGGUGAUCCCCCACACUGGUACUGAGACACGGACCAGACUACUACGGGAGGCAGCAGUGAGGAAUAUUGGACAAUGGGUGAGAGCCUGAUCCAGCCAUCCCGCGUGAAGGACUAAGGACCUAUGGUUUGUAAACUUCUUUUAUACAGGGAUAAACCUACUCUCGUGAGGGUAGCUGAAGGUACUGUAUGAAUAAGCACCGGCUAACUCCGUG
rnacentral:rRNA from 1 species